GUCGGUGGCGGAGCUGCUGAGCGCGAUAGUAGCAGCUCCGGCGGCAGCAACAUUGACUACGAGGAAUGGCGGCGGCUGCCGCAGGACCUGCAGCAUCCCAGAGGUUUUUCCAGAGCUUCUCAGAUGCUCUAAUCGACCAGGACCCCCAGGCGGCGUUAGAGGUGCAGAUUUUAAUUUCAGUGACUGAAUUAAAAGGUGUCAAGAAGCUCAGAAUGGUAUGGAAAAUCGAGGACCAGGGAGAGUACCUUGCCAGCAAUUUUGUAGUUAUGAUUUUCGAUGAAGAGCUGCACAGUAAUAGGGGAAAUUCUGAAUGGUAUUCAAGUCCUCCAGCCAGCAGCAGCAGGAUGUGGUUUUCAAUGUGCACUAUGCAAGUAGCGCUUCAGAUGGAGCUUAUUCUUAUUUUUAAUUUAUUUUUUAUUUUAUUAAUUCAUUUGUUUUUAUAUAUUUUAAGAUUUAUUGACAUAAAAAUUAUAUAUGGUGUACAAUUUGAUGGUUGAUAUGCACAUGCGUUGUGAAAUG
ensembl:lncRNA SUGT1P3 SUGT1 pseudogene 3